GGAAACACCAAAAUCCUAAGUGCAGCUAAGGAAGAGGUACUUAGCUGGAGGCGUUUCAUCAGAGUAGAGAACUUUCUUGUAGUCCUACAGCGAUUGAAGGAGUUCUUAGAAUGCUCCCUUUAGUGUGUUUUGAAUAAUGUCAGCAAGUUACUCUGAGGAAAGGAAUGUUUACUUUUCCAUGAUUUGAAACAUGAAGCUUGUGAAGGAAGGACAGCAUGUAUGAACAAGGAAAAUGCUGCUUCUAGAUGCUUCUGUGAGAUGCAGUAUGAAAAUGGAAGACGUGGUGAGGGCUGUUUCACAUUUUCCCAAAGAAAGUGAAAAGAAGGCCAGUUUUUAGAGAGGCCAUUGGAAAAAUCAAAGAAGAAGCAGUUAGACUAUGUGGGUAGGUUUAAAAUCGCUUCUUUCACUUUUUACAUAGUAAACAUUUUUAUAACCUUGAAUUCUUCCCAUUGUACUAAAUAAAAAUAACUGCCGUUUCUGAAGUAAGCAUGGCA
rnacentral:lncRNA from 1 species